rnacentral:rRNA from 1 species
GACGUAGGGUGCAAGCGUUACUCGGAAUUACUGGGCGUAAAGCGUGCGUAGGUGGUUUGUUAAGUCUGUUGUGAAAGCCCCGGGCUCAACCUGGGAAUGGCAAUGGAUACUGGCAAGCUAGAGUGCGGUAGAGGGUAGUGGAAUUCCCGGUGUAGCGGUGAAAUGCGUAGAGAUCGGGAGGAACACCAGUGGCGAAGGCGGCUACCUGGACCAGCACUGACACUGAGGCACGAAAGCGUGGGGAGCAAACAGG